AUUACAAUUGAUAACACAACAUAUUCUCAUUCUCUGAAUUUUCACAAAAAAAAUAUAUUCCCAUCUUUAAAUCAUUUGACAAAGAACCAUAACAUAAAGCUAUAUGCCAUUUUGACAAAAGACAAAAAUAUCUUUUAUAUCUCAUUGCCACGCAAGGCAAACUCAAUAUGUGACCAAUAUCGAUUGGUGAUUCAAGAAAUCAACCACUAACCUACCUACAACAUAUGACAUUGUACAUGAAAAAAAAGAAGUAAAAUGUCGACACUAGAAAAAAAACAAAUGUGUACUAUAGUUACUGUCUCAUUGCUGACAAAAGUGACCGUCACUCAAACUCCUAUUAAUUAUUCAACUAGGAGAAACAACGUAGUAGUGUGUAACAUUGACAUGAAUUCUACCGC
rnacentral:lncRNA from 1 species